AAUGUGUCUGCCAGGAUGUCCAGC
rnacentral:piRNA from 1 species